UACGUAGGGGGCAAGCGUUGUCCGGAUUUAUUGGGCGUAAAGAGCGUGUAGGCGGCCAUGUAGGUCCGUUGUGAAAACUCGAGGCUCAACCUCGAGACGCCGAUGGAAACCAUGUGGCUAGAGUCCGGAAGAGGAGAGUGGAAUUGCAGGUGUAGCGGUGAAAUGCGUAGAUAUCUGCAGGAACACCCGUGGCGAAAGCGGCUCACUGGCCCGGUACUGACGCUGAGGUGCGAAAGCGUGGGGAGCAAACAGG
rnacentral:rRNA from 1 species